UGUUCCCUCAUUCCCCUCUCCCUCCUUCCUUCCUUUCUGCCUUCUUCCGUUUCUCCUUCCUUUCCUCCCAUGAUGCAUUUGUCCUACUUCCCUGACUCUCCCCUUCUCUUCUGUUCUCCUCACCCAGUUCAAAUACAUGUCAUGCAGCUGUAGUGGCCCCUCUAGGUUCUGAACUUAUGGGUCCAGUGAGGGUUCCUUGGAUUGGGAUUGUUUUGUGACAGUUCAUGGCUCUGGUGGAUGAGCUACACACACACACACACACACACACACACACACACACACACACACACACAUCUCACACAUGUACAUAACACACACACCUCACAAAUAUUGGACCCAGGCCCGUACUAGAAGCAGCUUUUGUUUGCUUGCUUGUUGGUCUGUAUUUUGUUUUGUUUUUAAAAUAAAUUUCAUUACUCACUUCUGCACCUGGGGAAAGAUUUAAUGUCUGGCUCUGCUCAGAAACUGCUAAUCUUUGGCUUCGGUGCCUGCUUCUGACCUGGAUCGCCAGGCGGCAGCCAUCGUUAGGCUGCUGAUGUAUCCACCUACUCUGAGUUUCCAGGGGCUUUUACAGGAAAACGCUACAGAGCACUUCCGGGGGUGGGGCGGGGCGGGGCGGGGCGGGGCCUGGUCAGCUCCUUACCUCUGUGAUGAAAUUCGUAAGGUGAUUUGCAUAUAAGGAUAAUUCUCGGGGGUUCGUUGAUCCAGUCAGUUGAUCUAACUGCCUUUGAGCCUGUACGGAGCCUGAGGCUAAGAUGCUGCUCACAUCUGUCAGCACUAAGUGAACAGCAGCCACUCUCUCAGCAUCGCUUGCCUACUUCCUGCUGUGAGGUCAAAGGCACAAAUUAACAGCGCGCACGCACGUCCUUAGCAUCCAAGUCCACAUCCCGGCCCUCUGGCUGUCCUUAUGAGCAAGAUCGUUUUGCCAUUUUGGAAUGUGACUCUGUGUCGCUGAGAUGCUCCUACCAAGCCUCUCGUUUCUGAUUUUCCACGGCCUUAAAGCCGCCAUCUGGUGCAAGGCUGGGAAGGACACUGGGAGAUCCCUGUGCAGCCUCUGGCCUCAGGCCUGCCCCCCAGGGCCGAGAGAAACAAUUUCAUCUCAGUCAGAGCUUUCCUCCCAUCUUCGGAGGCUUGGCCUUUUGCAUAGGUCUGGCUCUCCCUCCAGGGAGUCUAUUCCGUGCUGAUGGACGGUCACCGCUGGAACACUCUGAAAGGUUUGAACUAUCGAAAAGAUUUUGUGUUUCAGACCAACCUUGCUUUGUAAAUCAUCCUGGUAUCUCCAGUCUAAAUACCAACAGUGGGGACAGCUUGUGAUUAACCUCUCCCCUCCAAGAAGCAACCAGCAACAAUGAUUCUUCCUUCAAGAACAAUGUAACCAGUUUUUAAUAAAGCCAAAAGAUUCCUGCCCAGA
rnacentral:sRNA from 1 species